AAAUUUUGAAGGCACGCCAGCUCGUGCUCAGACUUCCUUUUCUCUGUUUGUUUUCCAGAAUUCAGGUCAGUUUCUAUCUCCAGAUCUUCCUAUCACAAGAAAUUGGAUUUCAGCUCUGGUUUUCUCCAUGGGACACAGCACAAACAUUGGAUUGGGGGUCACCUUCUGACUUAAAUCACUUCUUGUCUCAUCAUGAAAGGUGAGCAGCUUGACCUUCACAGCAGAAGGGACUGGUGACAAGUCAGGAAACCUGAGCGAACUUCCCAAGGACCUAACCCUUGGGAAGAGGUUAAGGCUUUAACAAGGAAAACAAAGAAACAACUCAAUAGCAGGCAAUAGGACAGCGUUUAAUUGAGAUAUGGUUUGAAUAUUAAAAAAAAAUCUGGUGGGGCCACAGUGUUCAUAGAAAAGAAUUGCUCCUGUGGUCAAGGUGGCCAAGAGAAGGCUCUCAGAAUCAGAUCUCAGAUGGGAUGGAAGACAAGAUGUGGAAGAAAUUAGUGGGGUUUUCUUGAUACUUAAAAGGUGACCUUGUUUCCAAGAUUGUUGAUAACGGUGUUUUGGUUCCAUUAUCUCCCAUCUCGCUGCCCCAACCCCACUGUUUUUGUCUGGAGGCUGCAUGUGUUGGCGCAGAGUUAUUCCCAUUGGCCUCAGAGCCCAGUUACUCAUUCAAAAAUAUUUAUUGAAAGCCUUGUACAUGCCAGGUAUGUUCUAGUUGCUGCAGAGACCAAAACAACCACAGAGCUUGUGGCCUCUUCAAGGAAAGACAGACAAUAAACAAUGAACAAAUAAAUAAAUGAACUAGUACAAAUAGUAGUUGAUAAUAUCAAGAAAAUACAUGGGAGGAUGGGAGAGAGAGUGGCUAGUUGGGGAUUUUCUUCUUUAGAUAGGACCCAGGGAGGCCUUUGUGAAAGGAAUGCAUGUGAGCUGAGUGGCACCGAUGACGAGAAGCCAGCCACCAAGGGCCAGCUGGGAGAGUGUCCCUGGCAAGAAGUGCUGGUGCAAAGUUUGGAGAUGGGGAAGAGCUUGGAAAAAUACAGUAAGCAGGAGAGGAGAGGAGCCAGAGAGAAGCAGAAGACCAUCAAUCAAUCAGCUGUGCCCUUGAACGUACAGGUGACACCAAACUCAAGCUUUAGAUGACAGAGGCCAUGUACUGACUUUUCCCACUGCCUCAGCUUCAGCCAAGAGCAGACUCCAAUGCCCUUCAUUGCUUCAUAACAUGCUUGUGUAGGAGACUGAUAUAGUCCCCAUGGUCAUUCUGAAUGGCAGCCUUUCAGCUCUGCAGAAACUCAGAAACAACCAGAGAAAAAAAUGGCAGAGAUUUCUGGGGUCAAGGGUUCUAGAUUGGCAUCUGACCUUGCCCCCAGAGCUGAGUUCGCUGUCCAAGAGUUACCCCCAGUCUGGGGUCAGACAGAGGCAGCUGUGAAGGAAGCAGAUAAGAGGGUGUUGGGAGUUCCUGAGAGCCCACUGAAGACUCCACGAUCAAGAUCCAAGGAGCCAACCCAGGGAGCAUUUCCAUUACAAGAAGUAUAGUUUCAGUCAAGAUAUUUAAGGGAUUCUUUUUCAUCAGAUCUAUUGGAGACAAAAUGAAAAUCAUAUGGUCUUGAGAGAAAGAGAAUUUGUCACAUAGAAAAUUUUGGUCCUCAUUCUUCUGCAGCUGGGCCACAGUUGGACCAAAAGGUUAAAGUUUUGGAAUCAGACUCCUCCAUGGGCCAGCACGGUACAGCAACUGCAUCUGCCCAGCAGCCAGAAUCACUAAUACAUCUCCAGCCCUCCCAAUUCCCUCAUUUCCUGCAGAGCUCUCUCUACUCCAUUGACAUCUUAAGAAAAGUAGACUCUCCUUUGAAAAAGGUUGGUGAUCCCACAUUGAGAAAGACUAAAGAAAGCUCAGUCAUCCUAGAAGAUCUUGCUACCAUAUAAUAAAGAGUCUUCACCUUAAUCCCCCA
rnacentral:lncRNA from 1 species